rnacentral:lncRNA from 1 species
UGAAGAGGAAAGGAAAGAACACAAACCCAAGGUGAGAAACUUGAAGAAAAAGUGUGGGAUUUCAAGGGAUUAAGCUAAUAAAGGUAAAAUUUUGUGAUUUUAUCUUGUGAUUUGCACUACCCAUGCUUUCUUUUUCAUUUUCCAUGCUUAGAACUCAAGUUUGCAUGAUGAACCCAUGUUGGCCGAAUUUGAGAGGAGAGGUUUUGAGCAUUGAUUUUGCUAGAUUUCAAGCUAAUUAAGUGUUUUUGGUUGUUUGGUAAUGGAAAGUAUGAAAAUCUAGCAAGGAAUCACUUUGUUCUUCACAAACCCACAAAAGGCCAAAUUUUCUAGGGAGGAUAUUGAGGCUGAAAUUUAUGAUAUUUCAUGAUAUUUUGGUGGUAUUUAAUGAUUGGUGAGGCUAGAAAUUUAAUGGGAAAUUUUGGCAUGAAAAUAUGAAUUAUUACGUAAUGUAUAGACAUGUGCGAUUUAUGGUUCGGACUGAUAAAUUGAAUCAUAUUCACAGUCAUUGAGGUAUUUUAAGUAUAAUUGGAGUGUAGAAAGUGAAAGAAAUCGAUUUGGAGUUAAAUUGGAGGUUUUAGCCAAUUAUACCGAGAAUAGUGCGAAUUAGGUCGAAUAUCGUAUUUAAACGACUAUUCGGACAUUUUGCAUCACAUUUCGUGCACUCAUAUAGAUUUAUAGAGCCUGAAAUAGUUUAUAAUAAAUUGACAUAAUUUAUUGAAAUUCGUGUCACGUAUGAUAUAUAGGUGGUGAGCCCUAUAACAAGGGUAAAGAGAUUGUACUCGAAGACUAGGAAUAGGAGUAUAUCGAACUCCUAGUACUGUGAGUAACCUUACUAUUAUCUUAAUUAUCUAAAGUAUGUUUUAUCCGAUUUUGUGAAUUUUAUGAAAAAUGAAUUAAAUGGUUAAUUUUUCGAUUUUAUAAACAAAAUGUGAUUUAGUGAAAUGAUUUCAUAAAAUUGUUUUAAAAUUGAAUAAUGGCUUUUCAAAUAGAGUAAUUGGAGACCAUUUGAUGUAUUGUGAAUUUAUUGUUCUAAUUGAUUGGCUUAUGACAAUAUUGGCAUGAAUGACUGAAUUGGUAUUUGUGUUGAAAUGUAUAAACUAUUGUUUGCCUUGAUAGGCUAGAUAAUGAUAAAAUUGCCAUAUCAUGUUGUUGAAUUUUUACUGUAUGGUGGGUUUAGCUUGCUGCAGUGGGCUAGUUCUGUGGACCAACCUAUUAGAGGGGCACGGAACCUUGUCAUAUAUAUGUACCUCGAUUGGAAAGGAACAUAGGGUAACUUCUGAGGUCAAACUUUAGAGUUCACUUUACGCCCAACCACUACUUGAGGGGAACUCGGCCAACGCUAAGGAACGGCUAUGUUUUCAAAACAAAAACAUGAUUUAUACGUACAUAACUUUUUAACAACCUUGGCAGACUAGGUUUAGGAUAGCCCUCAGCCAAGGUAUCCUUGAUGACUGAGAAUGACAAUGAUUUUGGCACGAGCCAAAGUUUUAAGAAAUUCAUAAGCCAUGUUAAUUACUCAAUUUAUAUGAAUUGAUUUUAUUUGGUUGAAACAAGUUGAAAGGUGAUGAAUUUCAAUAUGUUAAACUGUUUUAUCUGUCUCCAUUUACUCGACUUUAGAUGGUUUAGAUGGUAUCUAUUUACUCACUGGGAUUUUAUAAUCUCACCACCUUCCUUUUUAAUCAUUUCAGACCCGAGGUAGCCUAUGGAUAGUAGAUAUCGUAAAGGAUUAUAGUCGGCUUUACUACUCCAAAAACUGUAGGUUUACUGCCUUUGUGCACUUUUGUUCCUUGUGGGCCCAUCAGUCACUGUAAAGUAUAUUUCAUAUCCCGGCUAUCGAUAUUAUAAUAUGUAUGAAUUUAUUUAGGUUUUACAUUACAAAAAUUAUUUACCGAUGACUCUAUAAAUAUUGUUUUACAAGAAAUUAGAAUAUUUUAUUGAAUAUUUUAAUUUUAUUCAAAUAGUUGUAAUAUCAUUUUUAAUAAAUGUUUUAGACACCCAAAUUUAUUUUAAAUCAUGAAAUAUGUGUUUUCCACUCAUCUACUACAUUUUUAGUCGAGUUCGAAAAAUUUCGAGAAAAAAUGACGAAAACGCCCCUAUGAGGCGAAAAUUAUUUUUCCACGAUUUUGAAAGGGAAAAAGCUUAAAAUUCUUUAAAAAAGAGGUUUGGCGAUGAUUACUCAUAGGGGAGAUGAAAAAAAUGGUACUAAAGUCUUGCGGGGUUCCGGUUGGCACUCCGGGUAACGAAUGUCUACCAAGACGUCGCGGCGGUUGUCACGGGCUCUAGGGGAGUGUCGGGUCAUGACAAAUGAUACCAAUACCUUCAAUAUGGCCUGUUGAGUUUUCACCAAAGGUUACAUUUCCUUCUUUCUUUGGCCUUAAUUCCUUGAAAGACUCUUUGGUUCUGAUCAUGUGUCUAAAGCAUCCACUAUCAAAAUACCAUUGCUAUUUUUCUUGUGUUUUUGACUUUAAGCAAAUGAGCUCUUCCUACAAAGACAAAAUUCAAACAUUUGACUUUGGUACCCAAAUUUUCUUAAGUCUAUAUGAGUUAAUGUCUUUGGUUCCUUUUGAGAUCCACUCCAAUUUUAUUACCUUGCCAUGUGGAGGUUUGUUUCCUUUUAAAACCCAUACACUUUCGAUUUCCUUACUUUUAUAAGUGGUGGUUUUCAAAAGGCAAGAAUGAGUAGAAUGCCAAACUUUAUGACAAUAAAUACAUCAAAUAAAACAUUCAUAUUUUUUAUUUCCUUUAACGAAAAAAUUUUUAAAGCUAGUUUCCUUUGAGUACCAUCAUAGCCGAUUCCUUCUUUGUCAAAUAAUGCUCUUUGUUUUUCUAGAAUGUCAUUCAACUUUUAUUGACUCAUGUUGAAUUCUGAAAAUGUAAUCUGCAGGUUCUCUUUUUUUUUUCAACUCAUUCCUCUUAAUUUCCAAGUCCUUAACUACGUUCUCUAGUUCUAUCUUUGUCUUGACUAAAAAUUCAUUUUCUACUUUAAGUUGGAUAGAUAUUCUUGUAUUUCAAUGUAUUUUCUUCAAAUUCAAAUACUAAGUCAUCAUAUGCAUCUUGUAGUUCAUAAAAUGAAUAUGAGUCUUGGUCUAAAAUGUUGACUCCAUAUGUUUUUUAUGAUAACAAAACAUUCCUCAUUCAUUAAUGUUUAACUUCUCUAUUUAAAAGUGCAGGAUUUAAUUUUAUACCCUUAACAAAGUUGUUAGUUAAAGGCAAGUCAAUGAGCUUGCUAAGUUUAAUGAAGAGUUAACCAAUUAAUAAGGAAAGAGUAAGUAAUGAACAAAAACAAAACCUUAGUAACUGAUUAUCAAGGGACCUUAAUUAGCCAAGGCAUGGUUGUGUGAUAAGUCGAAGCAAAAUAGAAAUAUGGUAAUCGGUUAAGAGGUCUGGUUAAUCAGUUAGAGCAUAAGGUCCUAGUAUCUUCAAGCGCCAAAAACAAGUUUGAAAAUAUUGUUGAUCGUUGAAAGGAGCAAAAAUGGAAAAGUUCAAAAUUUGAAGAACUUCUAGCUGAUUAAAGGUGAUUUUAAUCGGAUGUGGUUGAAUGAAGUAAAGCUUCAAUCAGUUAAAGGAAGUGUUGACCAAUUAGAGGAAGACUGCUGCAUAGAGAAAUGAAAACAGAAAGUUUGUAAUCAAUUAGAGCCUACCAUAACCAAUUAGAGGAAGUCUGUUGAAUUAGAAAAGUCUAAAGAUAGAAAACUCUUAAUCAAUUAUAGCCUCUUGUAAUCGGUUAGAGCAGAGAUCAUAGUAACAGGACAAUGCAGACAGAAAGGCUGUAAUCAAUUAGAACUGCCUGUAAUCGGUUACUCGAAGUCUAUCUCCCUUUUUGAAUUUAAACACUAAAGGAUAAAAUAAUGGCUAGAAGUGCAUUAGAGUUGUUUUCAAUGGCUAAAAACUGUCUACAACAGAAAAAUCUGACUCCCUAAGUAUAAAAAAAAGCUUUAACUAUCAAAGAAGGAAGAUUUGAUGAGAGAAGAGCUACUUUGAGUAAAAAGAAAAAUAUUCUUCACCAAAAACACUUGUCUUUUAUUCCAUAUCUAGAAAAAGUGUUUAAACUUGAUUAUAAUUUAUACAUACUUGUAAAGGUACUUAGUUGUGCUUCCUUUUCUUAUUUCUCUUAGGAAAUUAGAGUGUGGGAAGCACUUUAAAGCCUGUUGUAAUGGAUUAGAGCU